rnacentral:rRNA from 1 species
GACGAACGCUGGCGGCGUGCCUAACACAUGCAAGUCGAACGGAAAGGCCCUGCUUUUUUGGGGUUCUCGAGUGGGGAACGGGUGAGUAACACGUGUGUAACCUACUCUUGACUUUGGGAUAACUUCAGGAAACUAGGGCUAAUACCGUAUAGGAGCUCCUGCUGCAUGGUGGGGGUGGGAAAGUUUCGGCGGGCGGGGUUGGAUGCGCGGCUUAUCAGCUUGUUGGUGGGGUAGUGGCUUACCAAGGCUUUGGCGGGUAGCCGGCCUGGGAGCGUGGCCGGCGACAUGGGGACUAAGAGAGGGCGCAGACGGGUAUGUGGGACAAUGGGGGCGAGUCUGGCACAGUGAGAGGGAGCGUGAGAAGGAAGCGCCCGGUGCGGAAAGACGGUUUUCGGGGUGUGAACCGCUUUAGGUUGUGACGAAGCGUGAGUGACGGUAAUGGGUAAAGAAGCACCGGCUAACUACGUG